ACAUGGGGCAACUCUGAAAGGCAGCAAAUUGACAGGUUCAACGAACAGAACGUCAAAAAACUUAAGAACUAUUAAAGUUCUUUUUAUUUUUGCCGCUGUGCUUCUGAUGUUUUCUUCUGCUACUAUUUUUUCUGCAAGUUUAAUUCUAACAACAUUUCAACUUUCACAUAUUCUCUGAGGACAACAAAAAAAUAAAGGAAAAUAAAUAAAAUGCAGGACAUUCACUUAAAGUUUUGCUCACAAAGACGCGGCGACUGGCCACAUGGGGGACUACGGCAACUGACCAUGGCCCGAGCCGGGCCCAAGGCCCCAAACGCCUGAGCUCCGGACAGCGACGGCGGCGCCUCUAGAAUAUUUGAAUGCUUUCCCGCUCUUAACACUUUGAUGCUGAUGAUAUUUUAUAUGUAUUUAUUUUGAGAAGCGAAAAAUAAUAAGGAGAUGAGCCAGGCAAGAUUUAAUAUUAAAGAUGUUCCGGAACAUUUUGGUUUAAUGGGUAUGUUAGGCAAAUAUCUAGUUAAUGUCCUUCAACACUUUAACUUGAACUAAUAAUCAAGGGACAAACUUUAUCAAUAGUUAAUUUAAAUUUAAUCAAUUAAAAUCAAUAUUUGUAAAUUA